GCCGAUGUAACCCAACUGGCAGAGGUAGAUGUAUGAGAUGCAUCUCAGUGCAGGUUCAAAUCCUGUCAUCGGUA
rnacentral:tRNA from 1 species